GCCCGUGUGGCGAAAUUGGUAAACGCAGCGGUCUUUAAAACCGAAGCUGACUAGGCAAUUGCGGGUUCGAAUCCCGCCGCGGGCA
rnacentral:tRNA from 1 species